UCCAAGCUCUCAUCUCUGCCUCCACUGUC
rnacentral:piRNA from 1 species